GCCCCGGUGGUGGAAUUGGUAGACACGCAGGACUUAAAAUCCUGUGGCCAUUAGGCUGUACGGGUUCAAGUCCCGUCUGGGGUACUA
rnacentral:tRNA from 1 species